rnacentral:lncRNA from 1 species
UAGUUUAUUAAGAAGGGCCUGCCAUGUACAUAAGGAAUGUCUUUGUGAUCCCGGUCGAUCCCAUGUCCAAUUGCUUGGGACCCACUUGUUAUUUCUUUGCCUAAUUUGAUUCCAUGCGGAUGUGGCACUAAAUUUGCCAUUGUUAUGAGGCCAAAUAAGUAUAUCUGAAGAGUUGUUCUUGAUUGGAAUAGCUAUGAUAGUCGGCCAAAGUGAUAACAUUUCGGGAGAAAUAGGAUUAGGGAGACACUAGGUACCGUUAGCAAUGAACUCGGAAACCUUCCAAUCUUUGGGAGCCCCAAGAUCUUUUCGUAUUCUAUCGCCAUAUAAUUGAAAUAUACUCUUCCCA